rnacentral:rRNA from 1 species
AGGCAGCAGUAGGGAAUCUUGGUCAAUUGGCGAAAGCCAGAACCAGUCAUGCCGCGUGCAGGAUGAAGGCCCUACGGGUCGUAAACUGCUUUUAUUCGGGAAGAAAAAGUCUGUUUCCACAGACCUUGACGGUACCGAUUGAAUAAGGACCGGCCAACUCCGUGCCAGCAGCCGCGGUAAUACGGAGGGUCCAAGCGUUAUCCGGAUUCACUGGGUUUAAAGGGUGCGCAGGCGGCCAAGUAAGUCAGUGGUGAAGCCUUCGGCUCAACCGGAGAAUUGCCAUUGAAACUACUUGGCUUGAGUGCAGUAGAGGUAGGCGGAAUGUAGCAUGUAGCGGUGAAAUGCAUAGAUAUGCUACAGAACACCGAUAGCGAAAGCAGCUUACCACACUGUAACUGACGCUGAGGCACGAAAGCAUGGGUAGCAAACAGGAUUAGAUACCCUGGUAGUCCAUGCCGUAAACUUUGAACGCUCGGAGUUUGCCACCUAGUGGUAAGCUCCCUAGCGAAAGCGUUAAGUGUCCAACCUGGGAAGAACGCCGAACGGUGG